rnacentral:rRNA from 1 species
CAGCUCUCCGAGUGGUGGGGAUGUUUAUUGGGCCUAAAGCAUUCGUAGCCUGCUUGGCAAGUCCUCCGUUAAAUCCAACGAUUCAAUCGUUGGGCUGCGGGGGAUACUGUCCGGCUAGGGGGCGGGAGAGGCCGACGGUAUCCCCGGGGUAGGGGUGAAAUCCUAUAAUCCCGGGAGGACCACCAGUGGCGAAGGCUGUCGGCUAGAACGCGCUCGACGGUGAGGGAUGAAAGCUGGGGGAGCGAACCGGAUUAGAUACCCGGGUAGUCCCAGCUGUAAACGAUGCAGGCUAGGUGUUGGCGCGGCUACGUGCCGCUCCAGUGCCGCAGGGAAGCCGUUAAGCCUGCCGCCUGGGAAGUACGGUCGCAAGGCUGAAACUUAAAGGAAUUGGCGGGGGAGCACCACAAGGUGUGAAGCUUGCGGUUUAAUUGGAGUCAACGCCGGAAAUCUCACCGGGGGCGACAGCAGAAUGAAGGUCAGAUUGAAGGUCUUACCAGACAAGCUGAGAGGAGGUGCAUGGCCGUCGCCAGUUCGUGCCGUGAGGUGUCCUGUUAAGUCAGGCAACGAUCGAGACCCGCGUCCCCUGUUGCCACCGGCCUUGAGCCGAGCACACUGGGGAGACUGCCGUCGAUAAGGCGGAGGAAGGAGCGGGCCACGGCAGGUCAGUAUGCCCCGAAUCCCCCGGGCUACACGCGAGCUGCAAUGGCAGGUACAGAGGGUCCCGACUCUGAAAAGAGAAGGAAAUCCCGAAAGCCUGCCGUAGUUGGGAUCGAGGGUUGUAACUCACCCUCGUGAACAUGGAAUACCUAGUAACCGCGUGUCACUACCGCGCGGUGAAUACGUCCCUGCUCCUU